rnacentral:rRNA from 1 species
CGAACGCUGGCGGCGUGCCUCAUACAUGCAAGUUGAGCGCUGAAGGUUGGUACUUGUACCAACUGGAUGAGCAGCGAACGGGUGAGUAACGCGUGGGGAAUCUGCCUUUGAGCGGGGGACAACAUUUGGAAACGAAUGCUAAUACCGCAUAAAAACUUUAAACACAAGUUUUAAGUUUGAAAGAUGCAAUUGCAUCACUCAAAGAUGAUCCCGCGUUGUAUUAGCUAGUUGGUGAGGUAAAGGCUCACCAAGGCGAUGAUACAUAGCCGACCUGAGAGGGUGAUCGGCCACAUUGGGACGGAGACACGGCCCAAACUCCUACGGGAGGCAGCAGUAGGGAAUCUUCGGCAAUGGACGAAAGUCUGACCGAGCAACGCCGCGUGAGUGAAGAAGGUUUUCGGAUCGUAAAACUCUGUUGGUAGAGAAGAACGUUGGUGAGAGUGGAAAGCUCAUCAAGUGACGGUAACUACCCAGAAAGGGACGGCUAACUACGUG